AACGGCCAUAUCACGUCGAAACACUAGUUCUCGUCUGAUUACCAAAAUUAAGCAACUCAGAGCUUGGUCAGUACUUAGAUGGGUGAUCGCUUGAGAAUAACUUGUGCUGUAU